GAUGAACGCUGGCGGCGUGCCUAAUACAUGCAAGUCGAGCGAACAGACGAGGAGCUUGCUCCUCUGACGUUAGCGGCGGACGGGUGAGUAACACGUGGAUAACCUACCUAUAAGACUGGGAUAACUUCGGGAAACCGGAGCUAAUACCGGAUAAUAUAUUGAACCGCAUGGUUCAAUAGUGAAAGACGGUUUUGCUGUCACUUAUAGAUGGAUCCGCGCCGCAUUAGCUAGUUGGUAAGGUAACGGCUUACCAAGGCAACGAUGCGUAGCCGACCUGAGAGGGUGAUCGGCCACACUGGAACUGAGACACGAUCCAGUCUCCUACGGGAGGCAGCAGUAGGGAAUCUUCCGCAAUGGGCGAAAGCCUGACGGAGCAACGCCGCGUGAGUGAUGAAGGUCUUCGGAUCGUAAAACUCUGUUAUUAGGGAAGAACAAAUGUGUAAGUAACUAUGCACGUCUUGACGGUACCUAAUCAGAAAGCCACGGCUAACUACGUG
rnacentral:rRNA from 1 species